CUACGGAGGGCGCGAACGUUGCUCGGAAUCAUCGGGCGUAAAGCGCACGUAGGCGGCCUGAUAAGUCGGAUGUGAAAGCCCACGGCUCAACCGUGGAAGUGCAUUCGAAACUGUCAGGCUUGAGUAUGGGAGAGGGUUGCGGAAUUCCCGGUGUAGAGGUGAAAUUCGUAGAUAUCGGGAGGAACACCAGCGGCGAAGGCGGCAGCCUGGACCAAUACUGACGCUGAGGUGCGAAAGCGUGGGGAGCAAACAGGAUUAGAAACCCUAGUAGUCC
rnacentral:rRNA from 1 species